UACGUAGGGUGCGAGCGUUGUCCGGAAUUAUUGGGCGUAAAGAGCUUGUAGGCGGUUUGUCGCGUCUGCCGUGAAAAUUCGAGGCUCAACCUCGAACUUGCGGUGGGUACGGGCAGACUAGAGUGUGGUAGGGGAGACUGGAAUUCCUGGUGUAGCGGUGAAAUGCGCAGAUAUCAGGAGGAACACCGAUGGCGAAGGCAGGUCUCUGGACCGUUACUGACGCUGAGGCGCGAAAGCGUGGGGAGCAAACAGG
rnacentral:rRNA from 1 species